rnacentral:rRNA from 1 species
CCCUUAGAUGUUCUGGGCCGCACGCGCGCUACACUGAUACAUUCAACGAGCCUAUCCUUGACCGACAGGUCCGGGUAAUCUUUGAAUCUGCAUCGUGACGGGGAUAGAUUAUUGCAAUUAUUAAUCUUCAACGAGGAAUGCCUAGUAGGCGCAAGUCAUCAGCUUGCGUCGAUUACGUCCCUGCCCUUUGUACACACCGCCCGUCGCUCCUACCGAUUGGGUGUGCUGGUGAAAUGUUCGGAUCGGCCGUUUGUCGCGGUUUCCGCGGCUCGUGGCUGAGAAGUUCAUUAAACCCUCCCACCUAGAGGAAGGAGAAGUCGUAACA